rfam:Triticum aestivum genome assembly, contig: Triticum_aestivum_CS42_TGACv1_scaffold_158030_2DL
UAACUACUCCCUCCGUUCCAAAUUACUCGUCGCAGAAAUUGAUGUAUCUAAAACUAAAAUACACCUAGAUAUAUCCAUUUCUGCGACGAGUAAUUCAGAACGGAGGAAGUAGACA